UCGGGAAUAUUGCGCAAUGGAGGAAACUCUGACGCAGUGACGCCGCGUAUAGGAAGAAGGUUUUCGGAUUGUAAACUAUUGUCGUUAGGGAAGAGAAAGGACAGUACCUAAGGAGGAAGCUCCGGCUAACUACGUGCCAGCAGCCGCGGUAAUACGUAGGGAGCGAGCGUUAUCCGGAAUUAUUGGGUGUAAAGGGCGCGUAGACGGGAGAGCAAGUUAGUUGUGAAAUCCCUCGGCUUAACUGAGGAACUGCAACUAAACUACUUUUCUUGAGUGCAGGAGAGGUAAGUGGAAUUCCUAGUGUAGCGGUGAAAUGCGUAGAUAUUAGGAGGAACACCAGUGGCGAAGGCGACUUACUGGACUGUAACUGACGUUGAGGCACGAAAGUGUGGGGAGCAAACAGGAUUAGAUACC
rnacentral:rRNA from 1 species